GAUCAUGACUCAGAUUGAACGCUGGCGGCAGGCCUAACACAUGCAAGUCGAACGGUAACAGAAAGCAGCUUGCUGCUUUGCUGACGAGUGGCGGACGGGUGAGUAAUGCCUGGGAAACUGCCUGAUGGAGGGGGAUAACUACUGGAAACGGUAGCUAAUACCGCAUAACGUCGCAAGACCAAAGAGGGGGACCUUAGGGCCUCUUGCCAUCGGAUGUGCCCAGAUGGGAUUAG
rnacentral:rRNA from 1 species